UUUUCAUUCUCAUCGUCUUCAUAAGCUUUUUCUCCAUGUCUGACUCUCUCAAAGUAGCUAAGUUUUUUUUCGUUUCUUUUAUUUUAGUCCCUUCCUCCAUUUUCAACCUAUUUCAAGUUUUAAAGCCCCAUUUUCACCAUGGAUUUUAGUGAAUUUGCACUAAAAAUUUCAUGGCAUUUUUGGUAAAAGGGAAAAAAAGUUGAGGAUAUGAGUAAGUAAGGCUAAUAAAAGUCAUUAGUCAACGGUACUGCCUUUAUCUUUAAGCUCAGCCUUCUUCUUCAUCUCUUAUAUCUCAUACAUAAUCGGAUCCAACUCCAAUACCCAGUUCUUCCCCCGGUGAAGCUUCAACCUUUUCAACAAGGCAGCUAAGUAUCUCUAUCUGCUAUAUAUAAAUGUUUCAUAUCUUUAAUCCUCGAGCCCCUUUACUUUAUUCUUUUUAGAAUUUUGGUGUUUUCAUGGAGAAAUACAUAGGUAAUCAAAUUUUAUAGUUGCUUGCUUCAAACUAAGUUUAAAAAAAAAACUAUAUAUAUAUUUAAUUGUUGAAACCAAGAAUAAAGCAGCUAUGAAAACAUUUCUAACUUCAUUGAAAACUUGAGAGUUACAAUAGAGUAUUUAAUACAAACAGAUAAUAACUAACUAUUAACUAAUUGUGUUUAACUGCUAACUAACUCUUUUAACUAACUUUAUCGAUAAACCUAUUGAUGAAAUACUCAUAACAUGCCCCGUGCUAGUUAACGUUUUCUUCCUUCUAUAACUUCAUGCUUGUAAGGAACAAUUCCAAGUUGACUUCUAUUAGAAAAUAAAGUAAGUCAGUUUCUGUUAGUUAGUUUCUGUUGUGUUUAGUUAGAAGAACAGUUAAGUAACGGUUCUUGGAUUGUAUUAAAUACGUGUUUUCCUGAUUUCUAAACAAUAUACAGAAUUCUUUUCUUCAUUGCUAUUGUGUAAUCCUAGCACGGUAUCAAGAGCCAAGGUUCUCUUUGUGUAUUCAUAAAUUUUUCCUCUCAUGGCCACCAAUGUAGUCCCAGAUGGUGUCCCUGCUGUUGGUACGCUGCGUCACUCCUCCAAUACUAGGGAGGCUGAUCAUUCGCAAGGCACUGGUAUUGUAUGUGCAUCGACAGUUCAAUAUUUCUCUAAACAUGACACCAUAAAACUUGCAUCGCAUAAUUUUCUUCGUUGGAAGCAUCAAAUCUUGUUGAUUCUUGAGGGCUAUGGCCUUGAAGGUUUUGUGUUAGGCACUACUCCAUCCCCUCCUCCUGUUGUUCUUGGUUCAGAGGGCUAUCAAGUUGACAAUCCAGCAUUUCUUGUGCAUCGUAAGUAAGAUAAGUUUCUUGCGUCCUGGCUAUUGUCGACUGUUACAGAUGAGUUGUUAGUUCAUCUCACAAAUUCCAAAACUAGUUUUGAUAUAUGGAAUGUUAUUGAAAGGUGGUUUAGUGCUAAAUCUAACCUCAAGAUCUCCAGCAUGCGACAUGCGUUGUAUUCCAUCAAGAAAUCAACUUUAUCUGUUAAAGACUAUGUGUCAAAGGUCAGACAGUUAAGUGAUGACUUGACUGCUGCUGGUAAUUUCAUCUCGGAGCAAGAACAAGUGAGCGUAAUUUUGACCGGUCUUUCAGUUGAAUUUGAGUCUAUUCGAAUUUUUGCUUCUGCUACUCCUUUGUCCCUUGACCUUUUAACAGAAAUGCUGCUUGACUGUGAAUCCUGACAGUUAGAAUUGGUAACAGAAGGUUCGUGUCAAGCCAAUCUUGCAACUCGACAACAAGGCACGGAGGAUCCUUUGAAACAGUCUAGUGAUUCUUUUCAGCGACCUAAAACGGAUUAUAAAGGAUCGGGUAGAGGUUGGUCUCGUGGUCGGUCGCGUGGAAAUAGAAGGGGCUGGUCUCGUUCCAGGCCGCAGUGUCAGCUAUGCGACAAAGUGGGGCACAUGGUUCAAACAUGUUAUCACAGGUUUGAUGAAAGUUUUUCUGGUGUUGCAGGGUCAAAUUCCGCUCAAGUUAACUGUCAUCAAUUGCAUGGUUCUGAGUGUUCUUCACCUGUUCAUUCUUGCCAAACGGGGGUUCAUUACUGUGGCUCGUAUGGUCAUUUGCCUCCUAUAGCUACAUCUUCCUCACAAUCUGACUUAAUUUGGUACCCUGACUCAGGUGCAACGAAUCACAUUACACCUGAGGUAUCCAAUCUCACAACAGCUUCUCCGUAUACAGGUAACAACCAUGUCACUAUGGGCAAUGGUGAGUCCGUUUCUAUUGCCAGUAUAGGCUCCUCUUCUCUUUUAGCUGGGACUAGACUACUGAAGUAACAGAAUGUUUUGCAUGUUCCUGCAGUGUGCAAGAACUUGAUGUCUGUGGCAUAGUUUGCCAAAGACAAUGGUGUUUAUUUUGAGUUUCACCCAAUUUUGUGUUUUGUGAAUGACAUUUAGACAGGGGUGACGUUGCUCGAGGGCCACAUGCAUGAAGGGUUAUACCGUUUUUAUCUCACCAAGUCAACACCUACUGUUGCCUCGAAGCCCGAUUCCAGUUUGUUGAAUAGUACUGAACUUACUUCGUUUUCCUUAUGGCAUAAUAGACUCGGUCAUCCGUGUAAUACUGUUCUUGCUCAUGUCUUGAAGUCGUGUAAUAUUUCCUUCAAACAAGAUCGUUUACAACAGAUAUGUACAGCUUGUCAGCUUGGGAAAGCUCAUAAACUUCCCUUUCCAGCUUCAAAAACAAUAUAUAUUUCUCCUUUUACACUUGUAGUGUCUGAUGUGUGGGGCUCUGCUAGUGUGUCUUCAAAUGGCUUUCGGUACUAUGUUUCUUUUGUUGAUGCAUAUAGCAAGUAUACUUGGAUUUAUUUUCUUAAAACCAAGUCUGAAGUGGCUCAAAGCUUCCUGAAUUUCCACCGCAUAGUUACUGUUCAGUUUGGCUGCACCAUUAAGAGUCUUCAAACCGAUGAUGGAGGAGAAUAUCGUGGCUUGACUGCUACUUUAUCGAAGCUUGGUGUGCAACACAGGACAACUUGUCCUUAUACCUCGGAGCAGAAUGGUAUCACUGAGAGAAAACAUCGACAAAUCGUUGAUAUGGGACUGUCCCUUUUAGUACAAUCACAUAUGCCAUUAACGUUUUGGUUUUAUGCAUUUGUACAUGCUAUUUAUUUGACUAAUCGGCUGCCUACACCUGUCUUGAAUCAGUCAUGUCCUUAUGAAAUGCUUUACAAAGUUAAGCCUGAGUAUGGCUCACUGCGGGUUUUUGGGUGUGCCUGUUUUCCUGAUCUCAGGCCAUUUCAAAAGCACAAGUUCUAAUUCUGGUCUUAACGCUAUGUGUUCUUAAGUAGUGUUCCUACUACUAAAGGGUAUCGUUGUCUUGCAGAAGAUGGUCGAGUUUUUUUGUCUCGACAUGUUAGGUUUGAUGAGACUAUGUUUCCUUUCAAUGAGGGGUUUCAAAAAGAAUCGUCUUCCAGAUGUGUGCCGAGGUGUUCGUCUCAUUCUGUUCUUCCUUUGCAGCCGAGACUGAUGUGGUUGGUGAUGAUGUAUACUAUAGUAGUGAUCCUGUUGAUUACGAAGUGGAUAGUGAGAGUGAUUCCGACGCAGACGAGGUCCCGGAUGAUAUUGACGAUGAAGGCGUGAAUGAGGAUGGAAACGUUAAUGCGUCUUCAGUCAGAAACCAGAUUCGUCAUAUUGUGAUACACAAUAAUCUUGGGGCACACAUGUCUCGGAUAGACCCCGAUGCAGCACAGGCAGCUGAGUUUCCGGAGUACCCUGAAAUACCACAUGCUUACCGAAUGGGCGUAUAUUCUGAUCCAGAUGAGUUACACGUGGGCCAGAGAUUUGAAAGUAAGGAAGAAUGCAUGUUAGCGAUUAAGCGGUAUAGCAUGAAUAUAUCGGUAGAUUACAAAGUCAUCGAGUCUAAACCAACAUUAUAUAUUGGAGAGUGUUGGAGGUCGGCAGAAGGCUGCAAUUACUGAAAUGGGCCCGUAUUUAUCCGGCAAAUCGCAUCCAUGUCAUCGCGCUUUGCUGACAUGGCAACAAAUCGCUCCCUAGAGGGUUACAAAAUUAGAAGAUAUCAAUCAUAAAAAAAGGUACCCUAAAAUCAAAACACUUGCCUAAAACAAAAGGAAUAAAAAUAGAAUCUUCAACCAUGCAAAAGAACACCCCUCUAAAUCAAUUUAAUCCAAAAUUUAGAAAAAGAAAUCUCAAAACCCCAUUUCGUAUCUGAAUCCAUAAGCAUCAAGAAGCAACAAUGGUACACAUUAACUUUCGCAGUGACACAUGACUUAAAAACAUGAAAUAACUUGUAAAAUAGGUGGGUGCUUGAGUAUUUGUGGACAAACGAGACUAAAAACUCGAAUAUAUAUAUAUAUAUAUAGUUUUUUUAAACUUAAUUUGAAUCAAGCAACUAGAAAACUUGAUUACAUAUGUAUUUUUCUCCAUGAAAACACCCAAAUUCGAAAGAAAAAAAAGAAUAAAGGGCUCAAGGAUUAAAGAUGAAACAUUUACAUAUAGCAGAGAGAGAUACUUAGCUGCAUUGUUGAAAAAGUUGAAGCUUCACCGGGAAAGGAACUGGGUAUUGGAGUUGGAUCUAAUUAUGUAUGAGAUGUAAGAGAUGAAGAAGAAGGGUGAGCUUAAAUAUCAAGCCAGUACAGUUGACUAAAGACUUUAAGCCUAAGAAAGACAAAAAAAUGUAAGACUUACCCUUUCCCUUCUAUAUCAACUUAAAAAUAUACCAACCAAUCAUCUCAGAAAAAGAAAAUAAUAAUAAUAAAACAAAAAAAAUUUAAGACAAGAGAAUAUUAUUCUGUAGCUAAAAUAUAAGCCCAUCACACUGUAACAAAACAAAACCAAAAAACAGGAACACGUAUACAAACGAAACAUCCUGAUUCCUGACGGGUCCAGGAACUCAAAGUCUGGCCAUGAAUCCUAUCAUGGUGUUUCCCUCCACAUUGGGUGGCGUCAGCGCCAAUGUCAAAUCUAACUCAGCACCACAUGGAGUAGUGGGUUGUCGCAGAAGGCCUUGAUGACUACGAGUAAUAAUCUGGGGAUAUGCUUCUACAGCUGCAUGUCCAUGAUCACCAGUGCCAUUGCCAUAGCCUAUUGCAUUUGCACCCCCUGGGGGAUGCCAAAGAAGUGGAUUUCUCUCCCCACUUUAACCCUAUAGUAGGAAGAAUCAUCUUCACCUUGCCCUAUGUAUAAAAUGAAUCUAUCCCCAACAUUUAAGCUGUUAUAAAUAACAAAACUUUUCCAUAGUUUACCUGAGAAUACGGAUUUCUUGUACCCCUUCCUGCGGAUUGUGUAGCGAAUUGGCCAGGGUCUUGUGCCGUGUAAAAACUGAAAUGUGACUGUAUGACCUCCAUUGAAAGGUGGCAAACAACUCUGGAUUGCUGACGGGACUGCUAACCUCUUUUUGAUGUCAGUAACUGUGAGUAUCUUUGAGAAAACAUGUUUGGACUGAGCUGCCAUUGUCGAAACCAUUUUUUUGUGAAAGGGUCGUCGACUUGAAUUUUGGAAAUGAAAACGAAUAUGAGAGUUCCCACCAAUUUUUAUUUAAUGAGGUGUGAUUGGGUCACCUCGAAAAGUGAUUGUUUUUAAUAAACAAUUUGAUUUUAUUAAAACCACGAUUUUGGUCCACGAAAUUCAGAAAAACGAGUUCGGGAGUCGGUUACGUACGAGGAAGGAUUAGCACCCUCGUAAUGCCCGAAAUUCGUACCUAGUUGAUUAAUUAACGUCCCUAAUAUCGAAAAUUGAAAACUUUAAAGAUAUUUAAAAUACGAUCCUUUGUUGAAAUGCUAAAAAUUUUCAAGAAAAGAGCAUAUUUCAUGUUAAUCGAGAAAGAGAAUUAUAUCUCGUAAGUCAGGACACAAUGUCUUGAAUUCCCGAUACGUGAAUAAAUGCCAAAAAUUUACUUAUUUGAAAUAUAUUCGACUAUCUCGAGUUUAGAAAAAGAAAUCAUGUCUCGUGUUAGGAUCGUCCAGAUUAAGCAACGAACAAGUAAAAAUAGUAGAAGAAAUUGAGAAGAUAAACACACAAAUUUAAUGUGGAAAAACCCUUCCAAAAAGGAUAAAAAACCAUGGGCAGAUAUAAUUUUACUAUAAUGGCAAAAGAAUGAAGAGUACAAAAUAUGAAGAUAAAAACUAAACCCUGAAAACCGAAAAACAAAGAACCCUCAAAACGUAAACACAAAAUUCUCUGAAUGUGUUAUGAGUUCUAAUCUAAUUGGUGUCUUUAUCUAAGAUUGUAAAAGAGCCUAUUCAUAGGCUAAAUUAGUAAGUCAAAUAAACUAUGCUAAUAAAUGCUAAAUAUAUUAUACUAAUAAAUACUAAAUCUUCUAGAAAGAAAAUAUAUUUUUGUUUAACUUGACUCACAAGCAAUCUCUUAAAAUUUGGGUCACACAACUCUAACAUCCCGUAAGUUAGAACACGAUCUUUUAUUAAUUCACGAGAUCGUUUAAAAAAACUUAUGUUUGAAAAGAUUCAUUUACUUUGGUUUAUCGAGAAAAUAAAACCCCAUAAGUUAGGGUACGACUUUUCAAAUCUUUAAACACUAAGUUUAAUUUUUCUUUCUUUGAAAGCAAAAUUUUUAAUGUCGGGUAAAAUGUACCACAACUUUGUGAUAAAAUGUGAAACGAAUUUUAAUGUCGAUAUGUAUAGCGAAUAAUAAUAAAUGAAUAGCAAUAUGAAGAAUAAAAUACAAGAAACAGGCGAAAAUAAUAAACAAAACAAAUAAUAAGGACAAUAAAUAUAUAUAUAACAAAAACAAUUUAAAACUUAAUAUUAUAAAAUAAACUUUAUAUGAAACAAUCUAAGAAUAAUAAUGAUAAUAUGACUAACAACUAUAAUGAUGAUUGUUGAAAUAUAUAUAUAUAUAUAUUGAAAAUGAUAAAAUGAUAUAGCAAGAAUAAAUAAUAAACAAUAAAAUGUGAAAACAAAGGCAAAAUAAUGAGAAUAUUAAGUAAACCAAAUUAAUAAGUCACAUUUUAUUAUUUUUUAAAAAAUUAAAUAAAAUGUAAAAGAAUAACAAACAAUUUUUAAAAAAAAUAAAAACUAAAAGAUAACCUAGGACCGAAUUGUAACUGGAAUAAGAUCAAAGAGGAAAUUUGAAAAGAAAGAAAAAAUCAGGGCCUGAACGAAACGCGAGCAAAGAUGCAGGGGCCAAAUAGGAAAUAUUCCCACGUCAAUCAAACGGCGUCGUUCUAGGCAGGCACCUGCGCACGGUCUAUGGACCAAAUUGAAUAGGGAGCAAAAAUUUGUGCCCAAAAUCGAAAUAAAAAAACCGCAUUGAAUAUGAUGCAAAGGUGGAGGAACUGAUUGCGAACAUAUCCCCCUAAACGAAAACACGCGGAUCCCCUUACCUGGUCGGGUCAAUUUUCGGGUUUGAUGUAAACGGCGUCGUUUUAGCCAUUAAUGCACAAGCCCAAAACGGCGCUGUAUUAUGCCCUGUAUAAAUAGCAAAAUAAUAAAAUUCCCACUUCAUUUUUAAGAAAAAAAUCAGAGAACUCUCUCAGUUCUCUCAAUCCUUUCCCCUUCCGGCCACGACUCCGGCCAUCGACCAGCGGCUGGCGUGGCGCCGCCGUAUACGGCGGUCGGGUAGCUGAAAAGCUUCCCUUUUUUCUCCGAUGCACUCCCUCGAUCCCGAAAAUGCUCUGGCGCCGCCAAUGAAGAUGUCAGAGGAGCUGGUGGAGCAGGUGGCGGCAGAGGCUAGGGCAGGAGCGGCGGCACAUGAGGUGUUAAGGUUGAUGAUCCAAUGCAAGACGCCAAGGGAGAUGAUUGAUAAUCCAAUUGUACGUGCAAGCACCUAAGGGAGCAGGAAUCAUCUACCUAAUCAUUUCAUUUUUGGGUUUGGCGAUGAAGGUUGAAUUUUACUGCACAAACUAUUAAUUAAAUGAUAAGCACUUAGUAAUGACGACGACGAGAGUCAACAUAUUUCGAAAUAUUUAUUUUGAAUAUAGAUUUAAUGGAUUAAAUUAUAUUAAUUUGGUUUAAAAAUAA